rnacentral:ncRNA from 1 species
UCGUUGGGGUGCUCCGGUCAUUCGGACCGGAGCUGAGAUCAAACCCGCAGAACCUGAUCCGGAUCAUGCCGGCGUAGGAAUCA